UACGAAGGGGGCUAGCGUUGCUCGGAAUCACUGGGCGUAAAGCGCACGUAGGCGGACUCUUAAGUCGGUGGUGAAAUCCUGGAGCUCAACUCCAGAACUGCCUUCGAUACUGGGAGUCUCGAGUUCGGGAGAGGUGAGUGGAACUGCGAGUGUAGAGGUGAAAUUCGUAGAUAUUCGCAAGAACACCAGUGGCGAAGGCGGCUCACUGGCCCGAUACUGACGCUGAGGUGGCGAAAAGCGUGGGGAGCAAACAGGG
rnacentral:rRNA from 1 species